rnacentral:tRNA from 1 species
ACUGGAAUCAGAUGCUCUACCGCUGAGCUAAGGGAUC